GUAGGUGGCAAGCGUUGUCCGGAAUUAUUGGGCGUAAAGCGCGCGCAGGCGGUCCUUUAAGUCUGAUGCGAAAGCCCACGGCUCAACCGUGGAGGGUCAUUGGAAACUGGGGGACUUGAGUACAGAAGAGGAAAGCGGAAUUCCAAGUGUAGCGGUGAAAUGCGUAGAGAUUUGGAGGAACACCAGUGGCGAAGGCGGCUUUCUGGUCUGUAACUGACGCUGAGGCGCGAAAGCGUGGGGAGCAAACAGGGAUUAGAUACCCUGGUAGUCCACGCCGUAAACGAUGAGUGCUAAGUGUUAGGGGGGUUUCCGCCCCCUUAGUGCUGCAGCUAACGCAUUAAGCACUCCGCCUGGGGAUACGGCCGCAAGGCUG
rnacentral:rRNA from 1 species